AAGUCGUAACAAGGUAACCGUAGGUGAACCUGCGGUUGGAUCAUUAUUGAUUUUGUUAAAUAAUAACCAAAAGUUUAACAGUGUUUGGUGUAAAAACCAUUCGCAUACACCUGUGUACUGUGACUGUUUCUGGGUCCUAAUGCUCUCGAGCGACAGGGCCCGACAUAUUAACUAUAUACUAAUGUCUGAAUAAAUUUAAAUAAAAACAACUUUUGACAACGGAUCUCUUGGCUCUC
rnacentral:misc_RNA from 1 species